GGGUCCGUAGCUCAGUUGGUUAGAGCGGUCCGAUCCAUCGGACAGGUCGGUGGUUCGAGGCAGGGAUUCC
rnacentral:tRNA from 2 species